GGCGGACGGGUGAGUAACACGUAAGGAACCUGCCCCAAGGAUUAGGAUAACUCCGAGAAAUCGGAGCUAAUACCGAAUAGUUCUUCAGACCGCAUGGUCUGAUGAUGAAAGGCGCUCCGGCGUCACCUUGGGAUGGCCUUGCGGUGCAUUAGCUAGUUGGUGGGGUAAUGGCCCACCAAGGCGACGAUGCAUAGCCGACCUGAGAGGGUGAUCGGCCACACUGGGACUGAGACACGGCCCAGACUCCUACGGGAGGCAGCAGUAGGGAAUCUUCCACAAUGGACGAAAGUCUGAUGGAGCAACGCCGCGUGAGUGAUGAAGGUUUUCGGAUCGUAAAACUCUGUUGUAAGGGAAGAACAGGUAUGAGAGGUAAUGCUCAUGCUAUGACGGUACCUUGCGAGAAAGCCACGGCUAACUACGUGCCAGCAGCCGCGGUAAUACGUAGGUGGCAAGCGUUGUCCGGAAUUAUUGGGCGUAAAGCGCGCGCAGGCGGCCUUUUAAGUCUGAUGAGAAAGCCCCCGGCUCAACCGGGGAGGGUCAUUGGAAACUGGAAGGCUUGAGUACAGAAGAGAAGAGUGGAAUUCCAUGUGUAGCGGUGAAAUGCGUAGAGAUGUGGAGGAACACCAGUGGCGAAGGCGACUCUUUGGUCUGUAACUGACGCUGAGGCGCGAAAGCGUGGGGAGCAAACAGGAUUAGAUACCCUGGUAGUCCACGCCGUAAACGAUGAGUGCUAGGUGUUGGGGGGUUUCCGCCCCUCAGUGCUGAAGCUAACGCAUUAAGCACUCCGCCUGGGGAGUACGGCCGCAAGGCUGAAACUCAAAGGAAUUGACGGGACCCGCACAAGCGGUGGAGCAUGUGGUUUAAUCCGAAGCAACGCGAAGAACCUUACCAACUCUUGACAUC
rnacentral:rRNA from 1 species